UAACCAGAUUUACUGCAAUUUAUCUCCCAAUAUAAAAAUAAGUAAUAAAAUAAAUAAUAAGAAAAUCGUGCUUACGUAAUACUUGAGCGGCCCCUUUGGAUAUAACUGUAAGUCUGGUAGUCUGGUAGGCAGGAAAAUGGAAGUGCAUUUAAAAGUCAGUUCAAAAUAAUGUUACGGGAACUAUAUGUAUGUUAUACUAUCUACCUAUGUAUAUACAUAUACCUGCAGCUGAGUUUCAACAUCGGACGUAAAGGCAGACUACAAAAUACCAUUCGAUUCAUCUCGAGUUUUAGAUUGUCUCCUGAGACGCGGUCGAUACGUUUACGGCGUUUGGAACAGUGCCAGGGCAAUGUAUGAACUUAGGUUGAGUACACACUGCAUUAUAAUUUGACAGCUGACGAUACAAGCCACGUUUACAAGUGUCAAUAUAAAGCUGUAUUAAAAGGAUAGAUUUAUGUUUGUUCCUUUAUUAAAUUCAGAUGAGAUCUUUUUAAUUUAGGUCCGUAAACAUGACACAUCUAAACUAACCUAUGUUACAACCAACUUAAAUUGACAAAAACAAACAAAAAAGACGCUUGUUUAGUAAACAUAGGCCAGCCUUUUCGAUAACUCUCUUAGCCCAUUGUCAGGUCGGGUAAUGGAGCGCCAUUUCUACAAGGUAAUGCAAGGCAGGGGAAUGUCCAAAACACUUUAUGACACACGCAAACCCAGUAUCUUUGAGAAGAAGUCCUGACACUAAACCAGUGAUUGGCAAUCUUUUAUUUUAUUUAUACCAACUGGACAGACGAUUGGCCUCAAUCCCAACUAAUGUUAAGUGAGAUGUGGUCUAUUGGAGGACAAGCUUGUCCAGGAGAUGUCUGUACAACCACCGGAUGAAUAAACCUAUAUUGUACUGUCUAGGGAGGAUGGGAUGGGGGCAAGGAGUUCCACUUUCCCCGUUCAUUUGCUGUUGUUAUAAGUAACGACAGACCAAAUCGUGCAGUGUGGCACCUGGGGAUGUCGGUGGUGAAGCGUAGGGGUGAAACUUCAGCGUGCUUCCAGAUGAGCGCUGCUUGAAAGGGGCUGACGAAAUUAGAAUUCUGUAACAGUAGAUUUAAACAACUAGUUUCAGAAACCAUUACUUGCUAUUAUUGUUAUUUUAUCUUAUAUACGUGAAUAACAUAUUUUCAUAUGUGUUUGAUUGUCCUCGUUUUGACAUGUGUUUGAGAGCAAACAUAAA